ACACUGCAGAGGAGUGCCACAAUAGGACGAAACGGCCAUCCAGUGU
rnacentral:hammerhead_ribozyme from 1 species